rnacentral:rRNA from 1 species
CCUGGCUCAGAUUGAACGCUGGCGGCAUGCCUUACACAUGCAAGUCGAACGGCAGCACGGGAGCAAUCCUGGUGGCGAGUGGCGAACGGGUGAGUAAUACAUCGGAACGUGCCCAGUAGUGGGGGAUAGCCCGGCGAAAGCCGGAUUAAUACCGCAUACGACCUACGGGUGAAAGCGGGGGAUCGCAAGACCUCGCGCUAUUGGAGCGGCCGAUGUCAGAUUAGCUAGUUGGUGGGGUAAAAGCCCACCAAGGCGACGAUCUGUAGCUGGUCUGAGAGGACGACCAGCCACACUGGGACUGAGACACGGCCCAGACUCCUACGGGAGGCAGCAGUGGGGAAUAUUGGACAAUGGGGGGAACCCUGAUCCAGCCAUGCCGCGUGUGUGAAGAAGGCCUUAUGGUUGUAAAGCACUUUAAGCGAGGAGGAGGCUCUCUUGGUUAAUACCCAAGAAGAGUGGACGUUACUCGCAGAAUAAGCACCGGCUAACUCUGUGCCAGCAGCCGCGGUAAUACAGAGGGUGCGAGCGUUAAUCGGAUUUACUGGGCGUAAAGCGUGCGUAGGCGGCUUUUUAAGUCGGAUGUGAAAUCCCCGAGCUUAACUUGGGAAUUGCAUUCGAUACUGGGAAGCUAGAGUAUGGGAGAGGAUGGUAGAAUUCCAGGUGUAGCGGUGAAAUGCGUAGAGAUCUGGAGGAAUACCGAUGGCGAAGGCAGCCAUCUGGCCUAAUACUGACGCUGAGGUACGAAAGCAUGGGGAGCAAACAGGAUUAGAUACCCUGGUAGUCCAUGCCGUAAACGAUGUCUACUAGCCGUUGGGGCCUUUGAGGCUUUAGUGGCGCAGCUAACGCGAUA